GAAUGCAAUAAUUGUAAGUUGCUAUGGAUAAGAGCAUCUGCUAAAUGACUUAAA
rfam:Salmo salar isolate Sally breed double haploid chromosome ssa08, whole genome shotgun sequence.